AUGUUCCGCCUAACUCUACUGCAGCUGCUGCUGGCAGCAGGAUGUGUAAAGUGUGAACAUCUGACACAGACAGCCUCUGUAGCUUUGCAGCCAGGGCAGCAACUAGUCCUCAGCUGUCAGGUCUCUUAUUCUGUGGGUAGCCAUCACACUCACUGGAUCAGGAAACCGGCGGGAAAAGGACUGGAGUGGAUCGGUGGAGCUCGUGUUGGAUAUGCCUCCUACCAGAAAGAUUCUCUAAAGAACAAGUUCAGUUACAGCUUAGACUCCUCCAGCAACACAGUGACUCUGAAUGGGCAGAAUAUGCAGCCUGAGGAUGCUGCUGUGUACUAUUGUGCCAGACAGUCACACUGA